UCAAGAAACUUCCACAAUGGGCGAAAGCCUGAUGGAGCGACGUCGCGUGAUGGACGAAGUGCUUCGGCACGUAAACAUCUUUUAUGUGGGAUGAAAUUAUUGACAGUACCACAUGAAUAAGGGGCUCCUAACUCUGUGCCAGCAGGAGCGGUAAUACAGAGGCCCCAAGCGUUAUCCGGAAUCACUGGGCGUAAAGGGUGUCGAGGCGGUUGUAUUAGUCGUUCGUAAAAUCUACGAGCUUAACUUGUAGGCGGCGAACGAAACGGUACGACUUGAGGUUUGGAGAGGUGCGUGGAACUCACGGUGUAGGGGUGAAAUCCGUUGAUAUCGUGGGGAACACCAAAGGCGAAGGCAGCGCACUGGCCAAAAUCUGACGCUCACACACGAAAGCUAGGGUAGCGAAGAGGAUUAGAUACCCAAGUAGUCCCUGAGCGGGC
rnacentral:rRNA from 1 species